rnacentral:rRNA from 1 species
CCUACGGGUGGCUGCAGUGAGGAAUAUUGGUCAAUGGACGCAAGUCUGAACCAGCCAUGCCGCGUGCAUGCAGACGGCUCUAUUAGUUGUAAACUGCUUUUGUACGAGGGUAAACGCAGAUACGCGUAUCUGUCUGCAAGUAUCGUACGAAUAAGGAUCGGCUAACUCCGUGCCAGCAGCAGCGGUAAUACGGAGGAUUCAAGCGUUAUCCGGAUUCAUUGGGUGUAGAGGGUGCGUAGGCGGUCGGAUAAGUUAGAGGUGAAAUCCCGAGGCUCAACUUCGGAAUUGCCUCGGAUACUGUUCGGCUAGAGAGUAGUUGCGGUAGGUGGAAUGCAUGGUGUAGCGGUGAAAUGCUUAGAGAUCAUACAGAACACCGAUUGCGAAGGCAGCUUACCAAGCUACUUCUGACGUUGAGGCACGAAAGCGUGGGGAGCAAACAGGAUUAGAUACCCCGGUAGUC